CACGUAGGGUGCGAGCGUUGUCCGGAAUUAUUGGGCGUAAAGAGCUCGUAGGCGGUGUGUCGCGUCGGCCGUGAAAACUUGCAGCUUAACUGUGGGCGUGCGGUCGAUACGGGCAUCACUGGAGUUCGGCAGGGGAGACUGGAAUUCCUGGUGUAGCGGUGAAAUGCGCAGAUAUCAGGAGGAACACCGGUGGCGAAGGCGGGUCUCUGGGCCGAUACUGACGCUGAGGAGCGAAGGCCAGGGGAGCAAACGGG
rnacentral:rRNA from 1 species